AGGAGGGCAGGGGAGGGCAGGAGAGGGCAAGGGAGGGCAGAGGAGGGGAGAGGAUAGCAAGGGAGGGCAAGGGAGGGCAAGGGAGGGCAAGGGAGGGCAAGGGAGGGCAAGGGAGGGCAAGGGAGGGCAAGGGAGGGCAAGGGAGGGCAAGGGAGGGCAAGGGAGGGCAAGGGACGGCAAGGGAAUGCAAGGGAGGGCAAGGGAGGGCGAGGGAGGGCAAGGGAGGGCAGAGGAAGAAAGAGGAGAGCAAGAGACGGCAGAGGAGGGAAGUGGAGAGCAAGGGGCGGCAGAGGAGGGCAUGAGAGGCCAAGGGAGGGCAAGGUAUGGCAGAGGAGAACAGAGGAACGCAAGGGAUGGCAGAGGAGGACAGAGGAGAGCAAGGGAUGGCAGAGGAGAGCAAGAGAGGUCAAGGGGGGCAAGGGUUGGCUGAGGAGAGCAGGAAAUGGCAAGGGAGGCUACAAUGUUGUGGACUCAUAGGCCAGCAGUUGCUUGGUUGUGUAUGCAGCAGGCAUGAAGGUGGGGUUUGCAUGCAAAACGUCGGGUUGUAUGUGGUGGAGCAGGUCACUGGAUAUGAAGGGAGGAUCUUGAAUCUGAACAUUGACAUCUUUUCUUCUAUCUUAAGCUCAGGGCCUACUUUAGAUGCAGCACGUUGUGUUGCAGUCACGAGAGACAGGAUGCAGAUCAUUCAACCUUGUGGGCCUGCUGGUGGCUGUAAGUAGAUAUUGGCGUUGAACUGCUUUUCAAACUGUGAAGCACAAGGAUACCUUACGCCAUGUAAGUAGUGCCAUUCGUUUCAUGCCUAAAUUCACUGCAGCAGUAGUGCUUUUGGAACAGCAGCCUGGAUUUUCAUCCAGUCAAUUAGUGCCUUGCUAGUAAGCGAGGUAAUAUGCAUGAUUGAUGAUGUUGCUUGAAACGUAUGGUUUGCCAAAUAAUAGGCAAAAGGCAGGACAUUUCGGUACAAACCGUUCAAGAAUGUUUGUUCUAAACGAGGUUAUCCAUCAACACCGUGAGACAGAGCUAAAAUACAGUCUGAAAACAUCUGACAAGCCUUAACAACGGCUAACAGCACCAAUUCCUGUUCUACUUCUCCAACAUGGCUGUUAACAGCCAGAUCCACCCGCCGCCAGCCCAAACAUCGUCUGACAGCCCCAUCACUGUUAGAGAAUCUGUUAGGCUAACAUUUCCUAACAGGCACGCCUGUUAGCCGCUGUUAGACCCCCUAUGAGUUGGUGGGGCUUGCAAGGGGUAUUGCCCAAACUCCCUAAACAACAGUCGAUUCGUGGGAAGCCCAGCACCACCUAGUUGUUUUAGGAAGGUCUUUUGCAAUUCGACCAUCCUGUCCUGUAGCGAGUUAUCGAAGUAACACGAGCGCGGUUCCUGAUUACGAGGAUAUCCUCUUUCCAAUACAUCUAGAACCUUGGUCGGGGAAUGUCUUCAGUUGGGCACGUGUAGUUUUGGUCGGCGGGGUCGAGCAUCGUACGCAUUGCGCAAAGGAGCCAAGGUGCAGCGUCUCUGUUGUUGUUGUUGUUGUUGUUACAUGGUCGCGACCAUGUAACCCACGAUCGUGGGUGCGUUCCCCCUACCUGCAAACCACCCUAGUACGAGCCGAGGGCUCAAGGGCUGCCAAAUCGCCUAUAAGCACCAUCCUACCUCGCACUUCCAACGGAACAAGUAAUGAAGUAUACUAACGACCAAAGGGAACGAUAGAGUUGCGGUGAGACCAUAUACGUUCCAGCAUUCUUGCCAGGCGUUCAGGUUCCCACUUCAUAGCGUCCUUCAUAUGUUCGAAGCGUGGAAAGCCCAUAUCAGAUCUGAUUCCGUCGUAAACCGGACAGUCCAGCAAAAUGUGUUUCUCAUCCUCGAUGUGGCUAUCAGUGCCGCAGCAGGGGCAUACUCGCUCCUCCCUAGGUAUAUAACGCUGUCCCUUACGCGCUCUGUUAGCCGCCAGUGCCCAACAGCAAAGCCUAAACUGCAUAAGCUUGCAAUUCGCCGAACGUGGGAUAAACAUUGUGAUGUGCGGGAGCACCUCCUUCCUGCCCGCUUGCUCGGCCGCCAGCCCCAUCCAAUGCUUAUACUUCGCCAUGUGAAUUCCUGGUUGUUUGCCAUCUGACGGAUACACGUCAGGCUGGACAUCUAAACGUGUAUGCUUCCAACCACUCACUAAUCGGUCCUUGAACUCCGAAAUCACACCUUCUGGCAUUGGCUUGUUCAUCAGCCACUCCACUCGUUCGUCUACCUCGUGUAGCCCUUGCGGGGCCUCUUUCCAUACAUCGUGCCCCAAAAAACAUAGAAAACGGAGGAGUAGUGUCCCCCAUCCGGGCCCUUCGGGGUUGGAGAGGGAUUCUGCGACCUCCUGUCGCAAAACUUGGUAUGCCACAGACCCACGCUGUAAACGGACAUGGUUCCAGAACCUCACAACCUGCUUGAGAACGUGGUAGUGUAGGGGUAGCUGCGAUAGCUCUGCGAACAAGAGGCGGUGUGUUGGUCUGGCAGCUCCUACAAUUUGCCGCAUGAAAGAUAUCUGAAGCUGCACUGCCCUGUCCUUUAGGCACGCCUCGAAGGGCCCCUCUGCAAGGUUAUUCGCAUCACUCCGCUUCCUGAGCCUGUCCAAGACCUCAGCUAGCAUAAACGGCCCCCACACUUGACAACCAUACAACAGUAUUGCUCGUACCUGCGUAUCGAAACACCUCAUCCUCACAUCUGGGGCGAACAACUUCAGCUUAUCUAAUUUUGCACUCAACGCGAACAUAGCUGCUCUAGCUGUGUCAUACAACUGCUGGCGGCAGGCCCAGAACUGCCGUUCCGGCCCAUACACUAACCCCAGAUAUCGNNNNNNNNNNNNNNNNNNNNNNNNNNNNNNNNNNNNNNNNNNNNNNNNNNCNUUAGCACGGCCUAGCAUUCCAGCCAGGACUCUGGCACGCGUCGUGGGACACGCGGUGAGCAUGUACGUUGUAGUCGGGCGCUUGGGGCGUCUCUUCACGCGGGCGUCGACAGCCCUGCUGCCCGACCGUUGGGGGUGGUCGAGUGAGGUCACGGUUACCCCGGAGGUACGGGAGGAAUUACGCUUUUGGCAGUCGCUAGACCGGGAGCGGCUGACUAGCCCUAUCAGGCGACCCCCGGAGGUCAACGUGCUGGAGGUAAACUCUGACGCUAGCGCUACAGGCUGGGCGGGUGUUGUGUCAGGCCCAGGGCUACGCUCAGUGCAACCGGUCGCACGGGGGUACUUGUCUUGGGACUUGCGUCGUACUUCGUCGGGGAACCGCGAGCUGGCGGCUAUCUUCUUCUCUCUCGAGUCCCUGAAGGAAGAGCUGAGAGGGCGGCGAGUGCACUUGCUGACGGACAGCCAGAAUGCGGAGCGUAUUGUUGAUCACGGCAGUCGGAAGGCACACUUGCAGGAGUGGGCCUUGAAGAUUUUCUGGUGGUGCAAGGAGCACCAGGUGCAGUUGAGUGUGUCCUGGAUCCCUCGUGAGUUGAAUGAGGUUGCCGACUACUUCAGCAAGUUGAAGGAUGGGGACGACUGGAAGCUGAACCCAGUCUGGUUUGAGGUUCUCGACCGCAAGUGGGGCCCACACACGGUGGAUCGCUUCGCGUCGGCGGGGAAUGCCCAGCUAAAGCGGUUCAACUUCUUGUUUCGGUGUCCGGGGGCCGAGGCAGUGAAUUGCUUCUCGCAGGCGUGGGGAAAAGAAAACAACUGGUGUAACCCACCAUUCGCUUUGGUGGGCAGGGUGCUGGAGUUUAUGAAGAGCCAGGCGGCGACCGGGACGGUUGUCCUGCCAGUGUGGAAGUCGGCGGUGUGGUGGCCGUUGCUGUGCCCCCGCGAGGGUGAGUUGGCGCAGUUUGUCACUGGCUGCUUCGAGCUGCCUCAUAAGCAACAGGAUCUUUUCUUGCCAGGGGANNNNNNNNNNNNNNNNNNNNNNNNNNNNNNNNNNNNNNNNNNNNNNNNNNNAAUAGAACUCGCCGCCACUCACUGUCGCUGAACUAACUUUAGUUACUCUUGGCUGACAUCCAGCCGGGAAUGGAGGCGGGUGGCCACCGUGAGGAGGAAUUGGGCUCGCUUGGAGAGGUGAUAUGGGCGGGAGGCGCGGGGCUCUUAUGUGUUUUAUGUGGGGCGUUAAAAAGCUGUCGUACUCCGAUAUGGCUAUCGGAAUACGGCAGUUUUUUUAUGUAGGCAGGUAGUGGUGGGCCACAUCUGUGCCAGGGUUGUUUUUCCUUGUGGAUUUGUUACCCCUUGCCCUCUUCCUUGUUCCUGAUGCUAUGGAGGGUGGCUGGGGCUGGUUGGGGGAGGGGUGUGUGUAUGUUUCGCCUCCGUCAUCGACGUGCCUGCCCUAAUUGACGUGCCUGCCCUAAUUCUCAUGUUCCCAUCCACGUGCUGCACGUGCAGCAGGCCUCGGACGAUGGGGAUGACGUCCAGCCGGGAAUGGAGGUAAGAUGGGGGUGAGGGUCGGGGCUCUUAUGUGUUUUACGUGGGGCAUCAAAACGCUGUCGUACUCCGAUAUGGCUAUCGGAGUACGGCAGAUUUGUUUGAUGCAGGCAGGUAGUUGUGGGGCACAGCUGUGCCAGGGUCGUUUUCCUUUGUGGAUUCGUUACCCCUUGCCCUCUUUCUUGUUCCUGAUGCUAUGGAGGGUGGCUGGGGCUGGUUGGGGGAGGGGUGUGUGUAUGUUUCGNNNNNNNNNNNNNNNNNNNNNNNNNNNNNNNNNNNNNNNNNNNNNNNNNNGGGCAAGGGAGGGCAAGGGAGGGCAAGGGAGGGCAAGGGAGGGCAAGGGAGGGUAAGGGAGGGCAGAGGAGGAAAGAGGAGAGCAAGAGACGGCAGAGGAGGGAAGUGGAGAGCAAGGGGCGGCAGAGGAGGGCAUGAGAGGCCAAGGGAGGGCAAGGUAUGGCAGAGGAGAACAGAGGAACGCAAGGGAUGGCAGAGGAGGACAGAGGAGAGCAAGGGAUGGCAGAGGAGAGCAAGAGAGGUCAAGGGGGGCAAGGGUUGGCUGAGGAGAGCAGGAAAUGGCAAGGGAGGCUACAAUGUUGUGGAC
rnacentral:lncRNA from 1 species